rnacentral:misc_RNA from 1 species
GAAAUGCGAUAAGUAAUGUGAAUUGCACAAUUCAGUGAAUCAUCGAAUCUUUGAACGCACAUUGCGCCCCCUGGUAUUCCGGGGGGCAUGCCUGUUCGAGCGUCAUUUCACCACUCAAGCCUCGCUUGGUAUUGGGCGACGCGGUCCGCCGCGCGCCUCAAAUCGACCGGCUGGGUCUUUCGUCCCCUCAGCGUUGUGGAAACUAUUCGCUAAAGGGUGCCGCGGGAGGCCACGCCUUAAAACAACCCCAUUUCUAAGGUUGACCUCGGAUCAGGUAGGGAUACCCGCUGAACUUAAGC